UACGUAGGGUGCGAGCGUUAAUCGGAAUUACUGGGCGUAAAGCGUGCGCAGGCGGUUCGUUAAGUCAGAUGUGAAAGCCCCGGGCUCAACCUGGGAACUGCAUUUGAAACUGGCGGGCUUGAGUGUGGCAGAGGGGGGUGGAAUUCCGCGUGUAGCAGUGAAAUGCGUAGAGAUGCGGAGGAACACCAGUGGCGAAGGCGACUCUUUGGCCUGUAACUGACACUGAGGCGCGAAAGCGUGGGGAGCAAACAGG
rnacentral:rRNA from 1 species